ACAGUGUUCAUCUUGUUUUGAUGGAAAUAAUGGGCCAAUGAACAAGAACAAGAAAAAGUAUUGCUGAGAUAAGAAGAAGUGAGGACAAACCUACAAAGGAGACCAGAGCUGAGGAGCCAGCAAAAGACAGUGGAAAUGUCUGUGGAAGAUUAAAGAGUUAAAUAUGUCUCAACUGCUGGGCCUGGUGGUGUAAGUCAGAGACUCAGGAGGCAGCACCAAGAGGAUCCAUUAAUAGCUCAAGGUUAGUCUCAUCUACAGAAUAAGUUCUAGGUCAACCUGUAAAUCUCUGUGAAACAAGAAAUAAAUUAGAGACGUAGGAACAUAGUUCAGUGGCAGAGCAUGCCUGAGGCAUAGGC
rnacentral:lncRNA from 1 species